UCGUAGUGAACUGCGGAAGGAUCAUUG
rnacentral:rRNA from 3 species